AAUUGAAUGGACGUUACAUAUUUCUCUCUUUGAUUUUUUCAGAAGUGGUUCACAAAGAAAAUUGAUAUUUUGAUUUAUUUGUAUAGUGAAAUUGUGACGACACAUUUAGAAAUUGUACGUUGAAAUAUUUAUGCAAAGCUAACUAUUUCAUGAAGGGCCUAUUAUUAAUUCAGUCUAAAAUUAGAGUUUUACCGUUUUUAACUCUCACAAUUUGUGCGCGACACUGUAGAUGGAAACACGAGAAACGAUUAUUGUGUAAAUAACUAAAUCUUCUAAUGUCAGAGGAGUUGGACACUUCAGUUAAAUUUUCUUGCUAAUAAAUUCACUUAUUGGAAAUUAGAACAGAACGAAAAAUAUUAAUAAUGUCAAAUUACA